CUGCGCCACAAGUGGCAGUCAGCAUUAUUGGGCCUAAAGCAUCCGUAGCCGGCGCUGUAAGUUUUCGGUUAAAUCUGUACGCUCAACGUACAGGCUGCCGGGAAUACUGCAGAGCUAGGGAGUGGGAGAGGUAGACGGUACUCGGUAGGAAGGGGUAAAAUCCUUUGAUCUAUUGAUGACCACCUGUGGCGAAGGCGGUCUACCAGAACACGUCCGACGGUGAGGGAUGAAAGCUGGGGGAGCAAACCGGAUUAGAUACCCGAGUAGUCC
rnacentral:rRNA from 1 species